UACAGAGGUCCCAAGCGUUGUUCGGAUUCAUUGGGCGUAAAGAGCUCGUAGGCGGUCUGUCGCGUCGGCUGUGAAAACCUGGGGCUCAACUCCGGGCCUGCAGCCGAUACGGGCAGACUAGAAUUCGGUAGGGGAGACUGGAAUUCCUGGUGUAGCGGUGAAAUGCGUAGAUAUCGGGAGGAACACCUGUGGCGAAAGCGGCGCACUGGACCACAACUGACGCUGAGGCGCGAAAGCUAGGGGAGCAAACAGG
rnacentral:rRNA from 1 species